GUCUGGAUAGCUCAGCUGGUUAGAGCAUGGUGCUGCUAACGUCAGCGUUGCAGGUUUGAUCCCUGUAUGGGGCA